GUGGUUGUUAUGGGGAUUUUGAAUAAGGAAGCAAAUGCCUGCUUUCAGUUCAUAGACUGAUUGCUUGAUAGUAUCUUCAAAACGAUUCACUCUAUUACAUAUGUAAUAUGGAGUUGUUCAUGUAUGUUAAUUUUUCCUUUUUACUAAUAGAUUCUCUCCUCGUUUUUUCACAAAAAGGACCAUGUGAUAACAGAAACCAUGGAUGUUGUGCAGAGACUAUAUGGAACGAAACAAUGCAAAAAUGUACAGUGUGUGGACCAGGUUAUUUUGGAGAAUUCUGCAAUAUGACAUGCAGAUAUCCGGACUAUGGAAUGGGUUGUCGGAUGAUGUGUUAUCCUGACCAGAAUAAAGAAAGUUAUGAUUUUAGAACAGGAUGUGCGGAUCAACAAGGUAUUGAAAUUUCAAAUCAUUUAUAUAUGUCAACUUGAAAUAUACAGUUUUUUAUUCUACAGAUUCUGCAACUCCACAAACACCUAUAGAGGUAAACGAUGGUGACAAGAAACAACAUCUGCUAGUUUUUCUACGGAAGAUAUUUGACCUCUUUUUAACAAUACUGGGAAGCAAAAAAAAUAACCUCGUUUGAAGACAACUGUCAAAAUUCUGUUUGUUGUCUUUAUUUUUAUUCUGGUCUUGUACUUGUUCUUUUUUGAAAAUAUAUAAAAUCAGAGGAAGAAACAGAUGGACAACAGAAGGAGAGUAAUCAUCAAUGCUAAGAUGUCCAGGAUAUAUACAAAUAAGAAGUCCACAACAGAAAUGUCGAAUACAUUUCUAGUGCUAAAACAUAUAAAUUCUCCCAAAGAGAAUGCAAUAGAAAGUAUUUUUAAAAAAGGAUUUUCAAUUCUAAACGGAACGAUUAUGUAAAUUAAAAUUUUAUGCAUAUAUCUUAUUGUCCAUCACAACCUUAUUUUUUUGGAUACUCCGAGUAUAAAUACAAGUAUAUAAUCAUUGAUUUAUUUUGAGUUAUAAAUACAGGAUCACAUUCAUCAAAACUAAGAUAUUACGUGUGUCAUUAAGAAACAAGUACAACUUAAAAAAUGAGCAGCAGUGAUAGAAAAAUGUAUUAUAUGCCGUUUAUAUGGAAGAGUAUGUCAAUUUUUUUUUAUUAAAGGCUUAUUUUUUUCGUCAGGUGAAACUGGUAUCUGAAGAAAAUGGUACAAAUUAUUUAAAGAAAUUUCUAUUAGAGGUGUCCUACUUGCAAAGCGGUUACCAUUGGAUGAAUCAUGCUAAACCAUCAAGUUCUGAAUUAUCAGCAAUCGUUUUUUUUUUCUUGGGCUUGGU